rnacentral:lncRNA from 1 species
AUGAGGAACCUCAGGCUCUGGUUCACGCAAGUCACAGAACCUUUAGUCAGGGGUGUGACCCAGGCUGGGGGUGAGUUCAGAGCUGAGCAUGUGAUUCAAUCCAAGUCAUUCAUGUGCCCAUCAAAACCUUUGUGUUGGAACUGGCAAGAAGCCCUUCUUGAAGUGCAGCAUCAGCACCUUCUAGAUAGACAAGGAUCUGGAGAUGUCAACACAUUGCCUAAUGGCUUUGUUUGGCAAAUGGCUCAGCAGAAAGGGGCACAGAAUUUACCAUUCCUUUCGGUCUCUCAAGGUGUUCCUAUGAACUUUUUAAUGACCCAGUGUAAUGGACUCUUGCCUAGCUUCCAUGGGAUGUGAAUGAAUUGCUUUAAUAAAGAAAUCCUAUUGGUCUGGUGCGUGCA